rnacentral:lncRNA from 1 species
AAUACAAUGGCUUCUGGUCAAUUCAGUCAUAAGAUGUAUUCCUGGCUGGAAAAUUCUGCUAUUUGGAAUCUACAGUUAGACAAGACUGCAUGUUAGACUCUGAAGUUAGGCAGGGUCACAACGCUGGACAGGUAUGGAAUGUAUUCGGUGUUGAGGAGUUUGGACAGUACAGCAGCAGCUGCUCUAGAGCAUAAACAGAUGGUGAAUGUUCAACUUGAUUACAUUGACCAGACGGAAUUGGAUAACAAACUCGAAAUAGUUUGAGAAAAAAGCACACGUAUGAUGCCUAGAGAUGUAAAAGCCAUUUUGCAAGAAUGAGAAUGAGUGCUACAUGCUAAGGAAGGUGGAAUGGAAAGUUAAGAACAGUUAAGAAUGAGGUGAAGACUAGAAAAGGGAAAAUUGUCUUUGUUGAAGAGCGCUUGUCUCCUGACAGUUACUCAGUGAUGCAAAGCUAAAAAGAGCACUGUGCUCAUGGUGGAAAAUAAUUCCCAGGACUUGACAGGGAAGAAUGCACUCAUUCCACACCCCGGGCAGAAGUCUGCUGAGAUAAACAGAAGAAAGAUAGUUAGUGAGCAAAUUCAUCAAGACCAAUAUCAAGUAUUUCUCCCCCUGGCCUGAUGGCUGAUUUGCACUCCUCCUGUAAGCAACAAAACUGCAAAACCAGUGCUACAAAACAGAAGCACCUGUAAGUCCGUGGGAGCACAUCUUUGCUCAACAAGAGAUCCUGACAACUAACAACUAA